GACGAACGCUGGCGGCGUGCUUAACACAUGCGAGUCGAACGGUAAGGCCCCAGCUUGCUGGGGUACACGAGUGGCGAACGGGUGAGUAACACGUGGGUGACCUGCCCCGCACUUCGGGAUAAGCCUGGGAAACUGGGUCUAAUACCGGAUAGGACCGCACCGUGAGGGUGUGGUGGAAAGUUUUUCGGUGUGGGAUGGGCCCGCGGCCUAUCAGCUUGUUGGUGGGGUAAUGGCCUACCAAGGCGGCGACGGGUAGCCGGCCUGAGAGGGUGGACGGCCACAUUGGGACUGAGACACGGCCCAGACUCCUACGGGAGGCAGCAGUGGGGAAUAUUGCACAAUGGGCGGAAGCCUGAUGCAGCGACGCCGCGUGGGGGAUGACGGCCUUCGGGUUGUAAACUCCUUUCACCAUCGACGAAGGUUUUCUGACGGUAGAUGGAGAAGAAGCACCGGCUAACUACGUG
rnacentral:rRNA from 1 species